rnacentral:misc_RNA from 1 species
CGAUGCUGCUGCCGGAGCCCAACUGAAUCAUGCAGCAGGUGAUCCACCUCCCCCUCAUUACCGUGACGCAACAGUCUUCAUAUAUCGCACUGCAUGUUUAUCCUAUGAAUACCGUGUGCACGUGUGUAUGUAUGUAUGUGUGUGUUGGCUGGUUGCAGCGGCGCCAGGUAGUGGAGUCGUGCACAGAGGGGCGGAGCUUUUGUCGCAGCUGGCCAGCACAUAUUCCAUCAGGAGCGCCUGCUCUUCCUCUAGCCUCUUUCUUCUCAGCGUGUCCGGUCUCUUCCACACAGCAUGAGGUCCCGUUCCACUCUCGAGCCUCCGACCCUGCCCUGCCACAGGCCACCCGUCGCGUGGCGCGAAGCAGCCGUAGACACACGCCGGCGCGGCACUGCGCCAACUCGGGCAUCGCAGCACGGCCUCUGCCUCGAGCCCUCCCCACCCACCCGCCUUGCAGUGCCGCCUCACAGCCGCUCCCCAUUUGUGCCGGUGGCCGCGUGGUGCAUCUCCCGCGGUGGCGCAGGCUCCCUCCACCGGUGGGCGGCGAGGGCGGGGCGGGAUGUGCUCGAGUCGCGCUGGCGCCUCGUCGAUCGUAUGGAUGGUGCAGGCGUGCUCGCGGUCUCGGGUCGCUCCGACGCCACGCCGUCGAGGGUGUGGCCGUCGGCAUCGGUGGCGAUGAGGCGCCCUGACUUCGCCACGUCGCAGGCGCUCGGCCCUGUGACCGCCGGAAGUGGCUCUGGCACUUGGCAGGGACAGAGGGACCGCCUGGCUUCCUCACACAGUGGGGGUGCUGGACCCUGAGAUGCCACGCACGGAGCUGUGCCUCGUCAGGGUUUCUGUAUCCCCGCAAGAAUGGGAGUCCAAGCUCUCGAGUCUGCACGGCAUGCCACCACAUCCGCCGAUACGGAGUGCAAGCACAGGCACUCAGACAGGCGCCCUCAUCACUCAACACCUUGAGAGAAAACGCCGCCCGUGCCGGUUUCAAGGGAACGCCUUCGCACAUAAAGUUGUGUCGUGUCUGCGCUGCUUUGUCAACACUCACACCUUCUCGUCACCUUCAUGGACUGCACCCCCUCGCUGCAUACCUUUCCCUCUCUCUGUGUCGGUCUCUGCACUCUGACGUAG